UACGUAGGGUGCAAGCGUUGUCCGGAAUUAUUGGGCGUAAAGAGCUCGUAGGCGGCUUGUCACGUCGGUUGUGAAAGCCCGGGGCUUAACCCCGGGUCUGCAGUCGGAUACGGGCAGGCUAAGAGUUCGGUAGGGGAGAUCGGAAUUCUGGUGUAGCGGUGAAAAUGCGCAGAUAUCAAGGAGGAACACCGGUGGCGAAGGCGGAUCUCCUGGGCCGAUACUGACGUGAGGAGCGAAAGCGUGGGGAGCGAACAGG
rnacentral:rRNA from 1 species